AUGGCCUGGGCUCCUCACCUCAUCUCCCUCCUAGCUCUCUGCACAGGAUCCUGGGCCCAGUCUGUGCUGACUCAACCACCCUCAAUGUCUGGGAACCUGGGUGAACAGGUCACCAUCUCCUGCACUGGGAGCAGCACCAACAUUGGAAGUUAUGGUGCAAACUGGUACCAACAACUCCCAGGAACAUCCCCUAAACAAAUCAUCUAUGGUACUAGCAAUCGACCCUCAGGAAUCCCAGAGAGAUUCUCAGGUUCCAAGUCUGGAAACUCUGCCUCCCUGACCAUCACUGGGUUGCAGGAAGAGGACGAGGCUCAAUAUUAUUGUGCAUCCUAUGACAGCAGCUCAUUGUUCACACAGUGCUCCGUAAUGUAG